rnacentral:rRNA from 1 species
GCAGUCCGAGCGAACAGAAAAGGAGCUUGCUCCCUUUGACGUUAGCGGCGGACGGGUGAGUAACACGUGGGCAACCUACCCUAUAGUUUGGGAUAACUCCGGGAAACCGGGGCUAAUACCGAAUAAUCUCUUUUGCUUCAUGGUGAAAGACUGAAAGACGGUUUCGGCUGUCGCUAUAGGAUGGGCCCGCGGCGCAUUAGCUAGUUGGUGAGGUAACGGCUCACCAAGGCGACGAUGCGUAGCCGACCUGAGAGGGUGAUCGGCCACACUGGGACUGAGACACGGCCCAGACUCCUACGGGAGGCAGCAGUAGGGAAUCUUCCACAAUGGGCGAAAGCCUGAUGGAGCAACGCCGCGUGAGUGAAGAAGGUUUUCGGAUCGUAAAACUCUGUUGUAAGGGAAGAACAAGUACAGUAGUAACUGGCUGUACCUUGACGGUACCUUAUUAGAAAGCCACGGCUAACUACGUGCCAGCAGCCGCGGUAAUACGUAGGUGGCAAGCGUUGUCCGGAAUUAUUGGGCGUAAAGCGCGCGCAGGCGGUCCUUUAAGUCUGAUGUGAAAGCCCACGGCUCAACCGUGGAGGGUCAUUGGAAACUGGGGGACUUGAGUGCAGAAGAGGAAAGUGGAAUUCCAAGUGUAGCGGUGAAAUGCGUAGAGAUUUGGAGGAACACCAGUGGGCGAAGGCGACUUUCUGGUCUGUAACUGACGCUAAGGCGCGAAAGCGUGGGGGAGCAAACAGGAUUAGAUACCCUGGGUAGUCCACGCCCGUAAAACGAUGAAUUGCUAAAUUGUUAAGGGGGUUUCCCCCC